rnacentral:rRNA from 1 species
GACAGGGGAUGCAAGCGUUAUCCGGAAUGAUUGGGCGUAAAGCGUCUGUAGGUGGCUUUUUAAGUCUGCCGUCAAAUCCCAGGGCUCAACCCUGGCCAGGCGGUGGAGACUACUAAGCUGGAGUACGGUAGGGGCAGAGGGAAUUUACGGUGUAGCAGUGAAAUGCGUAGAUAUCGUAAGGAAGACCAGUGGCGAAGGCGGGUCUCUGGACAGUUCCUGACACUGAGACACGAAGGCCAGGGGAGCAAACGGG